rnacentral:rRNA from 1 species
UUAAGAAUCUUGCUCAAUGGGGGCAACCCUGAAGCAGCGACGCCGCGUGAACGAUGAAGGUUUUCGGAUUGUAAAGUUCAGUAAGGAGGGACGAAGAAAAUGACGGUACCUCCCUAAAGCACCGGCUAACUACGUG